AAUGCCCGUAUUCAAGGAAAAACAAUGGAUUUUAAUCAUUGCUAACUUCAGAGCCAAAUUUUUUGAUAUCAUGAACCCAUACUACAGUGGUGAUUCAUUUCUACCAACAAUUAGUGUUGUUAUCCACAACUUCAAGGUUUUGUUUGCUGCUACAUACGGAAAUUCUAGUUCUUUCAGCAUACGAAAUUUCGAAUCAAGAUUUGUACCAGCUCCCAAGGUCAAUUUCAGGUAUGACUCAGGAAUUUUCCUUCUUUAGUAUGUUAGCAAGUACAAAGGUCUCGGUUUGGAAGGUUUCUCUAAUGUAAGUAAUAGUCAUAUCUUUCCUUUUUUGGUCAUUAAUUGUAACAUAUCAGGAACAAAACAACAACUUUUUAUAAAAUACUGUAGGAGGAUUUACAUGCUCAACGUCAAAAAUUCCUUUUCGAGAUUGUAACUUGCAAGCACAAUGAAAUUCAGCUCCCAUUAGUAACUUCUUUCCUGCAGAGACAUGGUUUCCGCAUAUUGAAGUGAAGCUUGGAACGCCAUUUUUUACUUGUUCUGCACAUGACAGUAACCUCAGGGUCUCAUUAAUACUGUCACCAUCAAGGGAAGUUGCACUGCAAGAUUGAACUCAAAGGAAUACUUCGAUGCGAAAAAUGUUUCCUUAACGAUAGAGUUAUCUUUUUUUCUCUUAAUGGUCUAGUGAUAGUUUCUUUCCAAGAAAUUUGGGUGUAAACAAUGUCUGAAAACAGCUGAAACAUUUUUGUA